rnacentral:tRNA from 1 species
GCCAGUGUAGUUCAACGGCUAGAACAAAGGACUCAUAAGCCUUGGAUAGAGGUUCGACUCCUCUCACUGGCA